rnacentral:misc_RNA from 1 species
AACGCACCUUGCGCCCCUUGGUUAUUCCUCGGAGCAUGCCUGUUUGAGUAUCAUGAACACCUCAACUCUCAUGGUCUUCCAUGAUGAGCUUGGACUUUGGGGGUUUGCUGGCCUUGUGGCCAGCUCCUCUCAAAUGAAUCAGCUUGCCAGUGUUUGGCGGCGUCACGGGUGUGAUAACUAUCUACGCUCGUGGUCGUCCACCAGGUAACCCUCAGCGAUGAAGGUUCAUUGGGGCUCAUAAACGUCUCUCCCCAGCGAGGACAACUUUUGAACGUUCGAUCUCAAAUCAGGUAGGACUACCCGCUGAACUUAA